rnacentral:rRNA from 1 species
AAACUGCGAAUGGCUCAUUAUAUAAGUUAUCGUUUAUUUGAUAGUACCUUACUACUUGGAUAACCGUGGUAAUUCUAGAGCUAAUACAUGCUAAAAAUCCCGACUUCGGAAGGGAUGUAUUUAUUAGAUUAAAAACCAAUGCCCUUCGGGGCUCACUGGUGAUUCAUGAUAACUCCUCGAAUCGCAUGGCCUUGUGCCGGCGAUGGUUCAUUCAAAUUUCUUCCCUAUCAACUUUCGAUGUUUGGGUAUUGGCCAAACAUGGUUGCAACGGGUAACGGAGGGUUAGGGCUCGACCCCGGAGAAGGAGCCUGAGAAACGGCUACUACAUCCAAGGAAGGCAGCAGGCGCGCAAAUUACCCAAUCCCGACACGGGGAGGUAGUGACAAUAAAUACUGAUACAGGGCUCUUUUGGGUCUUGUAAUUGGAAUGAGUACAAUUUAAAUCCCUUAACGAGGAACAAUUGGAGGGCAAGUCUGGUGCCAGCAGCCGCGGUAAUUCCAGCUCCAAUAGCGUAUAUUAAAGUUGUUGUGGUUAAAAAGCUCGUAGUUGAACCUUGGGCCUGGCUGGCCGGUCCGCCUCACCGCGUGUACUGGUCCGGCCGGGCCUUUCCCUCUGUGGAACCCCAUGCCCUUCACUGGGUGUGGCGGGGAAACAGGACUUUUACUGUGAAAAAAUUAGAGUGCUCCAGGCAGGCCUAUGCUCGAAUACAUUAGCAUGGAAUAAUAGAAUAGGACGUGUGGUUCUAUUUUGUUGGUUUCUAGGACCGCCGUAAUGAUUAAUAGGGACAGUCGGGGGCAUCAGUAUUCAAUUGUCAGAGGUGAAAUUCUUGGAUUUAUUGAAGACUAACUACUGCGAAAGCAUUUGCCAAGGAUGUUUUCAUUAAUCAGGAACGAAAGUUAGGGGAUCGAAGACGAUCAGAUACCGUCGUAGUCUUAACCAUAAACUAUGCCGACUAGGGAUCGGACGGUGUUAUUUUUUGACCCGUUCGGCACCUUACGAGAAAUCAAAGUGCUUGGGCUCCAG